CGCACACGGAUGUGUAGGUGAUAGAGUGUUUACAGUAAAAUAUCUAAAUUUCGUCCUAAAAAUUUAACUUAACACUACGUCAUCAUAAUUACAGUUUGAUAAUACGCCGACGCAACAUACACUUUUUUGUAAGAAUUAUUACAGAGAAGAGAACAGUGAAGUUGUGUUCUUUUAAACUUUUCAGGGAACUAUAGUUUGGGAUGUAAAAUGUUACAGAUUAUCCUACAUCCAUGAAAAUAUACUUCUUGUUAAAAUGGGACUUGUUUCUGAUGCUGGUUUCAAUAUAUCCAUCUCAAAAUCUAGAAACGAGUUAGGUGACAAUACGACAAUUGACAGAAUUAUAGAAGAGUUUAAAAGCAAAUGGGAAGUAAAAGAAUGGACGAGACAUUUCUUUACCGAAGAUCAUUUGACAGAU